rnacentral:misc_RNA from 1 species
GCAGAAACCGCUUCCGACAGGCGUUCACACGGGAAAUAUGUUGCUCAUCAACAUAGAGAGAGCAAAUGAAAAAAGAUUCCAGGAUUAAUCCUAAUUUUACUUAAUGAUACAAAUUAGAAUGAAUUUUUAACCCGGAAAGUUGUCUCGUGGCAUGUGUCCGGGCACUGACUGGACGCAUAAUAAACCCCAUCGCAUUCCCUUCAUUAGCUGCAUUAACCAGUUCCGCAUGUUCUUCUUCGGUUAAUUCUUCGGCAAGCCAGCCGAUAACCACACUGUAAUUCCCGGUACGUAAAGCGCGAAUCAUUGAUUCAACAGUAUGGCACGGAGAAAGCUGAUUGAUUUGCAUAACUUUGCUCAA